GACAAAUAGAUAAAGAAUAAAUUAAUUUGCUUUUCAUUUUAAAUCUUUUGGGUUUGGCUAAGUAAAAUUAAAAUAAUUCCGUAUUUUUCUCCGGGCCGGUUUUGUCUUUUAUUGGAUGAAAAUAUACGUCAAUUUUGACGUCACUGCUGCAGCAGACGUGUUGGGUGUUUAGAAAAGGCAAGUGAUCUCCUAACAAUAAUAUUUUAAAGACUUUUGAUUGUUUAAAUAUAAUUUCAUUAUUGUUACAGUCCAAAGAGCCCGAAGCUGAUAAGACUGGCGAUUGAUCCUGAAGCUGAUUUGACAGACGAUUGCAUCAUCACAAUAUUGAAGGUUCAAUAUACAGUCAGCCUCUCAUAAGAUAAAGAACAAAUCCCAAGAUCCAAGGCUUGCUUCAAAGUUAAGAGACCAUUCUGUGCCACAAAGAAAUUGUUCAGGAAAAGGAGAAGUGGUGGAUAUUCAUUUUUGGUACGGUACAGUUCAAAGAGAUUUUCAAAAUGGUCAUGGAAGAUCAAAGGGAGGACAACUGAAAAAACUGAAAGAUACAGAAGGAAAAAGAGCAAGGAAAUAUAUGGAAUAAUUAUGAAAUGGGGAGGAUGUACACAAUCUUGUCUGAAUUUGACCUGUGAAGAUUUCCCAUAUUGUAUGCUGGAAUAAUCAAUAACUUGAUUUUUCAUAAAUUUACAAUAGAGAAUACAUGACAAAUGUUAUUGCUGAUAUUUCAAUGUUGCUUUGGACACUUUCAUGUAAUAUGGUAUUUUUAUACAUUACCUAAUUAUGUUAUUCAUUUGUACAUGUACAGUGUACAUGUUUAACUACUAAAUCAUUUUGCUGAAAUCUUAUAAUUUGUACUCAUGUUAG